rnacentral:rRNA from 1 species
AUUGAACGCUGGCGGCAUGCCUUACACAUGCGAGUCGAACGGUAACAGGUUAAGCUGACGAGUGGCGAACGGGUGAGUAAUACAUCGGAACGUGCCCAGACGUGGGGGAUAGCUCGGCGAAAGCCGGAUUAAUACCGCAUAAGCUCUGAGGAGGAAAGCGGGGGACCGUAAAGCCUCGCGCGUUUGGAGCGGCCGAUGGCAGAUUAGGUAGUUGGUGGGGUAAAGGCUUACCAAGCCUACGAUCUGUAGCUGGUCUGAGAGGACGACCAGCCACACUGGGACUGAGACACGGCCCAGACUCCUACGGGAGGCAGCAGUGGGGAAUUUUGGACAAUGGGCGAAAGCCUGAUCCAGCAAUGCCGCGUGCAGGAUGAAGGCCUUCGGGUUGUAAACUGCUUUUGUACGGAACGAAAAGGCGCCUACUAAUACUGGGUGUUGAUGACGGUACCGUAAGAAUAAGCACCGGCUAACUACGUGCCAGCAGCCGCCGUAA